UACGUAGGGUGCGAGCGUUUGUCCGGAAUUAUUGGGCGUAAAGGGCUCGUAGGCGGUUUGUCGCGUCGGGAGUGAAAACUCAGGGCUUAACCCUGAGCCUGCUUCCGAUACGGGCAGACUAGAGGUAUGCAGGGGAGAACGGAAUUCCUGGUGUAGCGGUGAAAUGCGCAGAUAUCAGGAGGAACACCGGUGGCGAAGGCGGGUCUCUGGGCCGAUACUGACGCUGAGGAGCGAAAGCGUGGGGGAGCGAACAGG
rnacentral:rRNA from 1 species